AUUGAACGCUGGCGGCAGGCCUAACACAUGCAAGUCGAGCGAGCGGCGGACGGGGGCGUAAUGCCUGGGAAUUGCCCAGUCGAGGGGGAUAACAGAUGGAAACGACUGAUAAUUACGCAUAGGAUUGGAUUUCUCAGGGGGGAUUAGCUAGUUGGUGAUGUAAUGGCUCACCAAGGGCACGAUCCCUAGCUGGUCUGAGAGGAUGACCAGCCACACUGGAACUGAGAAACGGUCCAGACUCCUCCGGGAGGCAGCAGUAGGGAAUCUUGGACAAUGGAGGAAACCCUGAUGCAGCCAUGCCGCGUGAGUGAAGAAGGCCUUCGGGUUGUAAAGCACUGUCGUCGAGGAGGCGUUACUCGCAGAGGAAGCACCGGCUAACUCCGUGCCAGCAGCCGCGGUAAUAC
rnacentral:rRNA from 1 species